AGGAUUUCUGUGAAAAAAAAAAGAAAGCCAUUUUCAAACCCUGAAACAAAUUGGCUCCUAUAUGUAAGUUUAAAUUAUCCAUCACCCUGGAGGAGGAUUCAAGUAAAAUUGAAGGCCAUCUUGAUGAAUAAUCAAGGACAAGUAAUUCCUCAAGUAAUGCAGUUGACUUCUCACUGAUGCAACAGACUACAUUUUUGAUCCAGAGAUUCAGAGACAGAAAAAUAUCUUAUUCAACAUUUUUUCAUUUUUAAACUGGAGAAUGGAAAUACUGUGCAAAACAUUUUCACCUAAAUACUUAAUUGGAAGUCAACAUAAAUAGAAGACUGGCAUCAACCUACUUAACAAGAAACAUGACUGACUCACUUGAUAUUUUCUUCACUUAAUACAGAAGUUUCUUUCAAAAAACA